ensembl:lncRNA
AGAGGCGGCAGGGUAGCCUAGUGGUUAGAGUGUUGAGGCGGCAGGGUAGCCUAGCGGUUAGAGUGUAGAGGCGGCAGGGUAGCCUAGCGGUUAGAGUGUAGAGGCGGCAGGUAGCCUAGUGGUUAGAGUGUAGAGGUGGCAGGUAGCCUAGUGGUUAGAGUGUAGAGGUGGCAGGUAGCCUAGUGGUUAGAGUGUAGAGGUGGCAGGUAGCCUAGUGGUUAGAGUGUAGAGGAGGCAGGUAGCCUAGUGGUUAGAGUGUAGAGGUGGCAGGUAGCCUAAUGGUUAGAGUGUAGAGGAGGCAGGUAGCCUAGUGGUUAGAGUGUAGAGGUGGCAGGUAGCCUAAUGGUUAGAGCAUUGAGCCAGUAACGGAAAGGUUACUAGAUCGAAUCCCUGAGAUGAAAAGGUAAACAUCUGUCGUUCCGCCCCUGAACAAGGCAGUUAACCCCACUGUUC